rnacentral:rRNA from 1 species
CCGCGUGAGUGAUGAAGGCCUUAGGGUCGUAAAGCUCUUUCGCUGGGGAAGAUAAUGACGGUACCCAGUAAAGAAACCCCGGCUAACUCCGUGCCAGCAGCCGCGGUAAUACGGAGGGGGUUAGCGUUGUUCGGAAUUACUGGGCGUAAAGCGCGCGUAGGCGGAUCAGAAAGUUGGGGGUGAAAUCCCGGGGCUCAACCUCGGAACUGCCUCCAAAACUCCUGGUCUUGAGUUCGAGAGAGGUGAGUGGAACUCCGAGUGUAGAGGUGAAAUUCGUAGAUAUUCGGAAGAACACCAGUGGCGAAGGCGGCUCACUGGCUCGAUACUGACGCUGAGGUGCGAAAGUGUGGGGAGCAAACAGGAUUAGAUACCCUGGUAGUCCACACCGUAAACGAUGAAUGCCAGUCGUCGGGUAGCAUGCUAUUCGGUGACACACCUAACGGAUUAAGCAUUCCGCCUGGGGAGUACGGUCGCAAGAUUAAAA